rnacentral:lncRNA from 1 species
CUGCUUCUGAAAGGCGGUUCUGACUACAAAGGGCAGGUGCGCGUCUGAAGGCAGGGAGCAGGAGCUUGAUCCUCUGGACUGCAAUAAACAACUCCGAGUCUCCUGGGAACACAUCAGCGAAACGGCGCGCCAGGCGCAUGCGCCAGCCUGGAGUGAGCCGAGGUGGACUAGAGGGCCAAGGGCGAGGCCCCAGCGGACUUUACAGCGUCUGGGACUUCUAGCACCUGGAACAUCUGAGGGUUGCAGGUGUUUGACGCCACAUGGGCCGCCAUGCGGGCACUGUUCAGGACUGUGGAGGCCCCAUCCGCCGGAGCUCACUGGCCUGCUCUGAGGGCCCCUCAGGUGUGUGUCACCAGCUCUUUCCCGCAGGGUCCCGGAAGUUAGAACCUGUUCAAAGCUGAGCGUGGGGAGCCACCCAGAUGCUGCAGGCUGUGUCCCGCCUCCUCUGGGGACCUUGUCGGCUUCUCGGCGGGCAAGGAGCCAGGCGCGCCUUCUCCGUGGCCCCCGUGCCACCAGCAUCACCAGCGAGGCGGCGAAGCUUCCUCAGCAGGGGACAUGGAGCCCUGACCUGACUGGAUGCGGCACAUGAUGACAUCCCUUUCCGGCAGGCAGGUUCUUUCUUCUCUUCUUUUUAGAAAUUUGGUAAAACGGCAUUUAAACGUUAGACCAGUUCAUAUUUUCUCUUUGGUCUAGUUUGGUGGAUCAAAAUAGGUAAAGAUUAUACCUAGUGUAUUUACACCAGAAAACUGGUGUCGCUGUAUUUAUCAUAACUGCUAAGUAGAGAAUGAUUACAUAAUGAUGAAGGGAACAACAAUUGUCAGGAAGCUCUAACCAUUCAGAUCCUCCCAGCCCAGGGGGUCUAGUGGUUAAGGUUUGGCACUCUCCCUGCUUAACUGUGGCCCAGGUUAACUUCCUGCCCAGGGAACCUCCUCACCGGUGUUAGUUGUCGUACUGUGGCUUAACACUAAUCACAUAAAAGGUGCUGAGAAAUAUUCUGUUAAUAAGCAAGUCUCCAUAAAAUCACUUGAUCCUGAUUUUAUUUUCUUUCCAAUUUUAAAAUUACUUUCUAUGAACCAAAACCUUCUAAGCAGUUGCCCAACUUCUUGGUUUGUUUCCAGUCUACAAGGAUUCUCUUAAUAUUUCCAAGUUAUUUGCAAACAGGAAACCAAAAAAUGACUUUGUUUUCCAACCACAUGUACAAAAGUGUGGUUUUUUCGGUUUUUGUUUUUCUUGAUGAAGAGAAAUUAAGGGUAAGAAAAAUUAAAAGAGGAAAAAAGGCAGUAAAAAAGUUAGGUCACAAAAUUUGUGCCUGAAGGUUGGUUACAUUUUCC